AGAACAAAAAUGGAGAGAAGCAAAGACAGAGCCAUUAAAUAUCGAGGCCUAAAGAGCAUGAUCAGUCAGAACUGAGUUAAGAAGCAAGAAAGAUAACUGGCAACAGUGAUGAAGGAGGAGGUGGGGAUCCCGCGGCAUACUGAAGGAGGAGAGCCCCAGGCAGAGGGAACGAUCAUCAGGACUCUGGACAAUUAGGACAGAGGGCACUGCACUGCUUCCCACCCCCACCUCACGCCAUGCCGCUGCUAUUUGAGCCCACUUCAGAGACACAGGAGUGGAGUUGGGAGAAGGAAUGGAAUGAGACCCAGGGACCUCAUACAUUCUCCACACCUCAAGCCUCCUGUUCACAUCACAAGCAGACUAUCGGCCUCUGGGAAGGAAGGCCUAUGCCUUUUUAAAUCUUCUCUUUGGAGUUUAUUCCAGUGCCCUGCAUGCAUGGAGGGAGAAUCCAAUCAAUGCACGACUGCUGAAGUGAUGACACCUGACACCAGAGGACAAUGCUUAACAAGAAGAGUUAUUAAGAUUUAUGGGAAAUUCCUCAUUAAUGGGCUGGACAUCAAAAGAAAGCUAACACCUUUUCCUUCUGAGAGUAACUUGUAGAUGACUGAAUGACUGCUCAGAACCAGAGCAGCUUGAAAGAGCAGAGAAAGAACAUCUGUCAGAGCCUCACCAAGCACCAUGACCCUGCCCAGUGAACUCAGUGAUGCUUCUAGGACUCGGAGCUUCUCAUUCUCAUCUCAGCAGUUUCUGACAUGGAUGAAGUAUACUCAUGGACAUCAGCCCUCAGACUCUGCUCGUAGUAACCCUCUGAUCUGAAAAGUAAAGCAAGAAUCCUGGGGAUGGUAGAAAAAAUUGGGGUGCUAUGUGCAUCUCCCCAGUGUUCCACAGUCUGGAAGAGUGGCAUUAUAGUUCUUUAACCUGGUGAUAAAGAGAAGACAUGGGAAGCUAAGUCAAAUCUUGACCACCUAAGACAUAUUUUUAGUGAGUGGUUCCAUCUACUAAAAAAAACAUGUGCCCUAGGGAUUGCAUAGGACAAAGGGAUUCAGAAGCAGGUGGAGCUAAGGAAAAUCCAGGAAGAGAGAAGAAGAGGAAAUGGAGACACCCCCUCCCCAGGGUUCUGCCAUGCCCCCACUUGGUAUCUCUUAAAGAUGUGCUCAUGUGCUCUCAAACAACACAGAACUUCCUGUCAUCAAAAGUCAUCUUCACUUAGGUUGGAAGCCUUUUGUUCUAUUUGUUCCUUAAUAAAAUAUGGUUGAGAUGGUUUAUUAAUUAA